UGCCUAUAUGCAUACAAGUUCUUUGGUUGAUCGCUUCUCACCCACUCACCCUCCCUCACCUUCCCUCUGAGAUUUGACAGUCUGUGUGAGAGUUUUAUAAAAACUUCAGCGCACACUUGCUCACUCACCUUCCGUACAGCCCCUUCCUCCCACCCCCACCUUCACCCCUGCUCUGCCCCAUACCAUUUAGGACUAGGCUUCCUUGUGUUUCAAUGAUUUGCUUUAUCUUCUCAGUACUCUUUGUUGCACCCCCAUCCAUGUGAAGGCCACAGUGAGUUCACAGCGCUGAGCCAAGCCCUGGCGCCCUGGAACAGCUGCCCAUCACUGGGAGGGCACAGCCUACUUUUUGAAUGGAAUCCCUGCAUUGCCACCAAGAGCUACCCAGUCUCCCAGGGAAAGAGAACAUCCUCAGCUGCCCAGGAGUAGGUUUGCAACGGCCUUUGAAAGAUUAUGCCCCUGAGCCGUGCCCACCCAUCCGCACCAGCUGGGGACACUGUAGAUGCUGCCGUCAUGCUCUGUGCACGCCUGACCUCUGAGUAGCCCGGAUGUACAGGUGUACCUCAACUCCCGGAACAGCCAUGCUCCUAAUGUCGUAUGGACAUUUUUAUAACUCAGCUCAUCUCCUGACUGUACUUGAGAAGCUGGCUACUUAAAGGAACCCAGAGGUGAAUUCUUUUGUAAAGAAUCCUUUUGUAAUGCAAUUAAUUGUCCCUUAACGUAUCUGUUUUGUAAGUUUGGAUUUUUGUAUAUCGGGUUUACCUUAAGCUUCUCUACUGAGGCAUUCUGAGCAGGGUGUGACAUGGCAGGCCGCCCUGCCUCUCCACAGAGCAGACGGCCCAUGCACAGCUCCCGGGGUGUCCCCUGAGGAACUGCUUGGCCAGAGCUGGGGCCUGGAUGCAGCAAGCAGCAGCAGGGAGGGGCUGGCAGCAGGCCUACUGCCCUCAGCUCUGCCUGCUAUGGCUCUGGGUCUGGGUACAGAAAAACAAAGCAUCUUUGCUCAUGGUGAAAUGAAGCAGUCUUCACACUUAGUAGUGAUUAUUUUUAUCAGUAGUGAUUGAACAGUGUUUUGCAAUUUGUGAAACAGUGUGUGGUGUUUUGUAAAAAGAUUUCAUGAAAUGGUGGGUCCUUUGGAAACCCUCCUUUCUGUUCUGCUCCACCUGUUCCAUCCACGCCACAGGCUCAGAACACACGAAGACCGGAAGUCCUCAGGCGGAGACGGUGUGUGGGCAAAGAUGUAAGGGAGGCUGCUACCUUCCUCCUCUUGUGGGCUCUUAUUUCAUGAGAUUGGGAAGGCCAGUCUUUCCCACGCCCUGGUGCUGGGAACCUGGGAUGGGACCUGAUGUCACACUCCCCCCACCCUGUUUUCCAAGGCGCUCCUGGCACAGGAAGCACACAAUAAAGCGUGACUGGGUGAGUGAGGACAGAUCGGCCCAUGUAAAUAUUAAUCAGGGCCCCAGAGUGUGGAUACUUAGAGGUAGAAGAUAAGGGAUUCUUCCAACAGUGAAAGACAAGUUGGGAGAGUGUCUGGGACAGACAAGUGAGGCAGCUGUAGGGACCAGUCAGUUGAGGUCUUCAGUGUGCCUGGAGGUGACUCUCCAUUACUCAUGGGUCUUGCUGUCACACAAACUCUAUAGGAUCUGCUGCUUCUGUGCCAACCGGGCAAGUGGUAAGUGGAGCCGCUAGCAAGAACAGCUUUGCUACAUGGUCAGCAAGCGUCUCAGGGCUGGGGGGUGUCCAUCAGAGCCUGGCAGCUGGUGAGCCUGUCUGGGUGUGGAGAGAGCAGGAAGGGGAAAGGGCUUAGAGCCUCUCUUCCUCCCAGCUCAGAUUUUUGAUCAGCAAACCAGGAAAUCCAGCCAGUCCCAGGAGAAACUGCUUUCUCGUCAUCCAAACCACACCUCCACCUUCACUGUUUAGUUGUUCCUUCCGUCGCCCACCGACGCCACCCAUCGAAUCCAGGAUUCCCUCACUUUCUUUAGUUUAGUUCUUAAUCGUUUUAUGAAAAUAAUGUACUUAAAGGUAUUUUCUUAAGGUUUGUAUGAGUGUUUGCACUGUGUGUUCAUUUUAACGUGUUUGCGAUCGCUCCGCUCCAGGAAGACCUGCGAUGCUGUCUUGUGAGCAUGACGUGAACAGGCUGCUUUGCUCCGGCCACUUUUCUUGUACAACCACGUGGGUGGACGAGAUGUCCUCCAGUCUUUUCCAUCUUUAGUUUCUAUGACUGUGGAAUAAAUGUUCAGAUAGAGA